UUGCAGUGAUGUAGAAUUUCUUCGCCUGAAAUCACUGUGAAGAGUAAAACCGAGCUUUUUAACACUGAGUCAAC
ensembl:snoRNA SNORD36 Small nucleolar RNA SNORD36